CACCCUUCAAAGACCAAGUGGUGAACCUGCAAGCGAUGCCCCUGGAGGAGGCAGACCCAGCCCUGGCUUUGCUCUGUCCCGCCCGAGCAUUGAGAUGCUACGUAGACCGGACAAAAAGCUUCAGGACCUCAGACCAGCUCUUUGUCUGUUAUGGAGGCUGGCAGAAGGGGAAUGCCAUCUCUAAGCAGAGGAUGGCCCACUGGAUUGUGGAUACCAUAACCCUGGCUUAUCAGGCACAGGGUGUGCCCUGCCCGUUCAGGUUGCGAGCCAGUAUCCUCCUGUGUUCUCACCUCAAAUGGGAGGCCCCGGUUAGUGUCAGCUUGCUAAAACUGCUUCAGAGUGUCCGUACUCUAGACCCUGUUGAGUUCCUCCAUCACCCUAGGCAGCUGGAUGUGGUGGAAUGUCCGGCGCCAGGCCUUCAUGAUGAAUCCGUGAGAACCGUGGAAGGCUGGGUUCCAUAUUGAGACCUAAGCGGUAUUUGUAUGUGUAUAGUCCACAGUACAGCCUUAGAGCCAGUGCUUCCCCAGCAGACUUCUGCCGUCCCAAGAGGGUUUUAAUCACCUCCAAUUUCUCCAUAUACGCCUAAAUGUAUGCUAUAUCUGUAUUUGCUUCCAAAAACUCCUUCGGGAAGGAUGGGGCUUCUGCAGUGAGGUAGUGCUUUGACAGUGGUCAGUGGAACUACUUGUUCCGAGCCCAGGCCUACACCAAAUGGGGUGCAGGUGGCUUGCACAGGGCACUGGAAGGGGCAGCACCCAUGGCGCUUUGGUAGGCAUCCCAAUGCGUCAGUCACUGACGUGACGUCGAGAGUGACCGACUGAAAGGGAACGUCUCGGUUACCAUAUGUAACCGAGACUUCAUUCCGAUUCUUAAGUUUGUGGACACCAGACUUGACGGAAUGAAAAGUUUUAAAUAAUUUUGAGGAAACUGAAAAGUUCUUUCAUGUGUGUGUGAAACUCUAUGAACAGGAAUAAUGUGGCUCUGUAGUGUGUGUUUUGGCAAUAGUAGAGGCGUGGUGAUGCUCUAAAUUGGCCAAUUACAUUCAUCCAUCCCUCGUUCAUCACUCUGUUUGUCUGUCGAAUGUUUGCUGACGGAUCAGAGCCGUGGAUCCAUUCCAGCGCUUUUCCACAUGAUUAGAUGGAACUAAUUAUUCUCACAUCUCACACUCAGUCUGGAAUAAACUAAUUACCCUAUCUCUUAAUGAAGGGAGAAAGGAAUCCUGCUAGAAUUCCUGCAAACACCUUUCAGAUCCACUCACAUCUACAAAUAUUUGGCUGGAAGUUAAUUGGAAGUCCAGAAGACUGAAAAAAACCCUGCAAUAAAAAAUAAAGAAAAAAAAACAAAACAAAAGGCAUAUAAGUUAAAUAAAUGUGGUAUGAGACAUUUGUUUUACCUUAGGGAGCAACACAUUGCUGUUAAUUGCUAGCUUGAUUAAUAGAUCUGAUUAACCGAGAGCAGUGAAUAAC
ensembl:lncRNA